rnacentral:rRNA from 1 species
ACCUAACAACUCCAGAUGGUUGACC